rnacentral:rRNA from 1 species
UAGGGAAUCUUCGGCAAUGGACGAAAGUCUGACCGAGCAACGCCGCGUGAGUGAAGAAGGUUUUCGGAUCGUAAAACUCUGUUGUUAGAGAAGAACAAGGACGUUAGUAACUGAACGUCCCCUGACGGUAUCUAACCAGAAAGCCACGGCUAACUACGUGCCAGCAGCCGCGGUAAUACGUAGGUGGCAAGCGUUGUCCGGAUUUAUUGGGCGUAAAGCGAGCGCAGGCGGUUUCUUAAGUCUGAUGUGAAAGCCCCCGGCUCAACCGGAGAGGGUCAUUGGAAACUGGGAGACUUGAGUGCAGAAGAGGAGAGUGGAAUUCCAUGUGUAGCGGUGAAAUGCGUAGAUAUAUGGAGAAACACCAGUGGCGAAGGCGGCUCUCUGGUCUGUAACUGACGCUGAGGCUCGAAAGCGUGGGGAGCAAACAGG